GACAGAGGGUGCAAACAUUGUUCGGAAUUACUGGGCGUAAAGCGCGCGUAGGCGGCUUUGUAAGUUAGAGGUGAAAGCCCGGGGCUCAACUCCGGAACUGCCUUUAAGACUGCAUCGCUUGAAUCCGGGAGAGGUGAGUGGAAUUCCGAGUGUAGAGGUGAAAUUCGUAGAUAUUGGGAGGAACACCAGUGGCGAAGGCGGCUCACUGGACCGGUACUGACGCUGAGGCGCGAAAGCGUGGGGAGCAAACAGG
rnacentral:rRNA from 1 species